rnacentral:rRNA from 1 species
AUGAACCUAUUUGAAGUGGCCCAUUUCGUACCAGAAAAGCCCAUGUAUGAACAAGGGUUGAUUUUACUUCCACACUUAGCUACUCUAGGCUGGGGAGUAGGGCCAGGGGGGGUUCUAGAUACUUUUCCGUACUUUGUAUCUGGCGUACUUCACCUAAUUUCCUCCGCAGUCUUAGGCUUCGGUGGCCUUUAUCACGCGCUUCUGGGACCCGAGACUCUUGAGGAAUCUUUUCCAUUCUUUGGUUAUGUCUGGAAAGAUAGAAAUAAAAUGACUACAAUUUUGGGUAUUCACUUAAUUUUGUUAGGUCUAGGUGCUUUUCUUCUAGUACUCAAGGCUCUUUAUUUUGGCGGUGUAUAUGAUACCUGGGCCCCUGGGGGAGAUGUAAGAAAAAUUACCAAUUUGACCCUUAGCCCGUUAUAUUUGGUUAUUUACUAA